AGCGAGACUAGAGUCACAUCCUGAUAUUGUUCAUUGUCCUGGUGUGCUAUAGUACUCGCAUAGUAACUCUCUGCUUAUUCAUUGGCUGCUGCUUUCCACUGCCCAGCCAAUCACCAGCUCAGAAACAUGC